rnacentral:rRNA from 1 species
AACGUAGGACACAAGCGUUAUCCGGAGUUACUGGGCGUAAAGGGCGUGUAGGCGGACCUAUAAGUCUAUUCUGAAAGCUCCUGGCUAAACUGGGAGAGGCGAAUGGAGACUGUAGAUCUAGAGUGAGGAAGAGGAAAGUGGAAUUCCGCGUGUAGUGGUGAAAUGCGUAGAGAUGCGGAGGAACACCAGUGGCGAAAGCGACUUUCUGGUCCUUAACUGACGCUGAGGCACGGAAAGCGUGGGGAGCAAACAGGG